rnacentral:rRNA from 1 species
GACGAACGCUGGCGGCGUGCCUAAUACAUGCAAGUAGAACGCUGAAGGAGGAGCUUGCUUCUCUGGAUGAGUUGCGAACGGGUGAGUAACGCGUAGGUAACCUGCCUGGUAGCGGGGGAUAACUAUUGGAAACGAUAGCUAAUACCGCAUAAUAUUGACUAUUGCAUGAUAGUCAGUUGAAAGGUGCAACUGCACCACUACCAGAUGGACCUGCGUUGUAUUAGCUAGUUGGUGGGGUAACGGCUCACCAAGGCGACGAUACAUAGCCGACCUGGGAGGGUGGUCGGCCAGACUGGGACGGAGACACGGCCCAGACGGCUACGGGAGGGAGCAGGAGGGGAUCUUGGGGAAGGGACGGAAGGCUGACCGAGCAACGCCGGGGGAGGGAAGAAGGGUGUCGGAUCGGAAAGCUCUGUUGUAAGAGAAGAACGAGUGUGAGAGUGGAAAGCUCACACUGUGACGGUAUCUUACCAGAAAGGGACGGCUAACUACGUG